UCCUAAGGUAGCGAAAUUCCUUGUCGGGUAAGUUCCGACCUGCACGAAUGGCGUAACGACUUCCCCACUGUCUCGACCAGGAGCUCGGCGAAAUUGCAGUACGAGUAAAGAUGCUCGUUAAGCGCAGAAGGACGAAAAGACCCCGGGACCUUUACUAUACCUUGGUAUUGGCAUUCGGUGUGGAUUGUGUAGCAUAGGCGGGAGGCCGAGAGGCGCGGUCGCCAGAUCGCGCGGAGCCGUAAGGUGAAAUACCGCUCUGUUCGCAUUGGAUGUCUAACCUCGAACAGUCAUCCUGUUCAGGGACAGUGCCUGGCGGGUAGUUUAACUGGGGCGGUUGCCUCCCAAAGAGUAACGGAGGCGCCCAAAGGUCCGCUCAGCCCGGUUGGCAAUCGGGUGGCGAGUGCAAGUGCACAAGCGGGCUUGACUGCGAGGACGACGGUCCGAGCAGGGACGAAAGUCGGGACUAGUGAUCCGGUGCCGGUGUACGGACGCGGCAUCGCUCAACGGAUAAAAGGUACCCCGGGGAUAACAGGCUGAUCAUUCCCAAGAGUCCAUAUCGACGGGAUGGUUUGGCACCUCGAUGUCGGCUCGUCGCAUCCUGGGGCUGGAGCAGGUCCCAAGGGUUCGGCUGUUCGCCGAUUAAAGCGGCACGCGAGCUGGGUUCAGAACGUCGUGAGACAGUUUGGUCUCUAUCCUCUGCGCUCGUUGGAAUGCUGAGGAGGCCUGCCCAUAGUACGAGAGGACCUGGGUGGACGAACCUCUGGUAUGCCGGUUGUCACGCCAGUGGCACGGCCGGUUGGCUACGUUCGGAAGGGAUAACCGCUGAAAGCAUCUAAGCGGGAAGCCUGCUCCAAGAUAAGCAUUCCGUGGAACCUUCGAGUUCCUGUAGUCCCCAUGCAGAACACGUGGUCGAUAGGCCGGACGUGGAAGCCCCGCGAGGGGUGGAGCCGACCGGUACUAACGGACGAAAGGCAACACUAA
rnacentral:rRNA from 1 species